UACGUAGGUGACAAGCGUUGUCCGGAUUUACUGGGCGUAAAGAGCGCGCAGGCGGUCGAUCAAGUCGAGUGUGAAAGCCCCCGGCUCAACUGGGGAGGGUCAUUCGAUACUGAUCGACUCGAAGGCAGGAGAGGGUAGUGGAAUUCCCGGUGUAGUGGUGAAAUGCGUAGAUAUCAAGAGGAACACCUGCGGCGAAGGCGGGUUGCUGGGCCGACACUGACGCUGAGGCGCGAAAGCUAGGGGAGCGAACGGG
rnacentral:rRNA from 1 species